rnacentral:misc_RNA from 1 species
UUAAUCUUUUAAACAUUCACAUGUGCAGUCACGCCAAUAUGUAAGAGAUAAUUAUUACUCGCGAGAUGAUCUCGAGAUUAUUUUUUAUCAGUCGUGAUCACAAAGUUACUACAUUAUUAUGCGAUGUAACGUUAAUAAGGUAAUAGAAUUUCGCUCUCAAUUGAAAUAAGCCACGAUGAUCAUGCGCAAGAGAGCGAGAUAGCAUAUGCGAAGACACGAUCCUAUUACCUACUUCUCGGGCUUGUAUGUGGUCGAAAUAGUCAACCAUGGAAUAGUAUAGCUACGGACUCCGAUAGUGCCGGGUGUUAUAUUUAAGUUUGGUGAUACCGCGAGUUUUCUUCGCAUUUUGCGAACGUUUAUUUCCGGUGAUCUUAAUAACUGUUGAUCAAUUUUGCUUAAUCUACUUUUGAUUUACUUUCAUCAUUUUCAUACUGAUCUAAACGGAGUGGCAGAAAAAUCACUCUUUUAUCUAUACGUGGGUAAAAGAUGUUUAUAGUAGAUCACAUGAAGCUGUCGCGUAGACUACUGGAGCAUUAGCCGCACAACAUCGUUCUACAUUAUAAAAUGAAUGGCCAAGAAAUGCUAUUUUUGUACGUCACUGUUGCAUUUAUGCCCAACAUCUUGGGAUUUCCAAAGAAAAUUCCUAUCGGGGGUUUAUUCGAUAGCGACGAGAUGAUUCAAAAAGCGUUCGAGAUGUCAGUCGAAGCGGUGAACAGAAACAUUACUACCUUCGAACAAGCCAUGAACGUAUCAUUAAUAUCCAAAUCCGAGAAAGUCAACAAGGAUACAUUCCAUGUAGCAAACAUAGCGUGCGAGUUGUUAAGUAGCAAAGUGGCUGGAAUAUUCGGUCCUCAGGAUAAAUCGACGGCAAGUCAUAUUCAAAGUAUGUGCGAUACUUUGGACAUACCUCAUAUUGCUGCCAGAUGGGAUCCCAAACCGAAACGUGGUAAUACGAUAAACCUGUAUCCACAUCCGGACAAACUCUCUAUGGUUUUUUAUGAUCUAGUAAAGGAGUAUAAGUGGAAGGAGUACGCAAUACUUUACGACAACACUGAUAGCCUGAUUCGCAUUAAUCGGCUACUAAAAUUGGCAAACGCAAAUACCGCGUCCGCGAUGGUGUUUCACUUGGGUAGCGGACCAAAUUUUAGGCAAGCCAUGAAAGAAGUCAAAAUGUCUGGCUACAGAAAUAUCAUAAUCGACUGCACGUACGAUAUUCUUGGCACUGUUCUCGAGCAGGCACAACAAGUUGGAAUAAUGUCAGAAAGGCAUAGAGUAAUUAUUACUUCUUUGGAUCUUCAAACUCUGGAUUUAGAACCGUACAAAUAUUCAGGAGUGAAUAUAACUGGCAUACGUUUAAUCGAUCCGGAAAGCUCCGUUGUACGACAUACACUUGAAUCUCAGCCUGUUAAAUGGAACUUGACGGACGGUUCCCACUUAAGGGUGGAAGCGGCACUCGCUUACGAUGCAGUGCAACUUUUCGCGAGUGGUUACACGCGACUACGCGACAGCAUCAAGGGAAACCUCAAGAAGCUAUUUUGCAACCGCAGGGAAACUUGGGGGCACGGCUUCAGCUUGAGUAAUUACAUGCGAAAUGAGCGAAUACAUGGAUUAACAGGCAUGAUAAAGUUUGAUACCGCAGGAUUCCGGAGCGAAUUCCAACUGGAUAUCGUAACUCUAAGUAAUAAAGGGUUGGAAAAGAUCGGAAAAUGGGAGACGAACCUUGGUAUACAUUGGAAAUCGGGAUAUAUAAUUUCUGAAGAAGAUGAAGAAAAAACAUUACGUGACACACAUUUUGUUGUCCUGAUAUCGUUAACAGAUCCGUACGGAAUGCUUAAGGAAUCAGCUUCUAUAUUGACUGGAAACGAUCGAUACGAGGGUUUUGCGGUCGAUAUAAUUCACGAAAUGAGCAAGAUCCUAGGAUUUAAUUACACCCUUGAAGUUCAGAUUGACAACGCGUAUGGAUCGUUAAACCCAAUGACGGGCAAGUGGGACGGCAUGAUAGCAAGACUACUAUCAGGCGAAGCAGAUUUAGCGAUCACGGAUUUGACGAUCACGUCAGAGAGAGAAAGCGCGGUGGAUUUUACAAGUCCGUUCAUGAAUUUAGGUAUAAGCGUUCUCUACAGAAAACCAACGAGCGCUCCUCCAAGCUUGCUGUCCUUCCUGGGGCCGUUCUCGAAGGAAGUUUGGCUGCACCUGAUCGCGGCGUACGUCGUCGUCGUGGCGGUGUUAUACAUUAUCGGCAGACUCUGUCCCAGAGAAUGGAAAAAUCCGUAUCCGUGCAUCAAAGAGCCGGAAGUAUUUGAAACACCCUUCACUUUGGAAGACACCCCGUUCCUCGUGAUUGGAGCUAUACUGAAGGCGCCUACCGGAUUAGCACCUGCAGGAAUUUCAACAAGAGCCUUGGCUGUUGCAUGGUGGUUCUUCGCUCUUAUCAUAACUUCGACUUAUCUGGCUAAUCUGGCAGCCGCAUUAGCUACAAAAUCCGUGGUAUGGCCCUUCGAGGUGGCGGAGCAGCUAGCUUAUCAACAUAAAAUUAAAUACGGCGCAAAGAAGAAAGGGUCAAGCCUCAACUUCUUCAAAGAUUCCUCGCAUGAACCGUACAUGAUUAUGUAUAAGUACAUGAUGGAUAAUGCUGACGAAGUGCUUCUGGAAACGAACGAGGACGGUGUGAGAAAGGUACAGCAAGAAAAUUACGCAUUUAUCAUGGAGUCCUCGACAAUCGAGUAUAACAAGCAGAGAAAAUGUAACAUAACGCAGGUCGGUGGUCUUUUGGACGCCAAGGGCUAUGGAAUAGCCAUGAGGAAAGGAGUGCCUUACCGCACGGAUCUGAGCGGCGCCGUAUUAAAGAUGCAAGAAAGCGGCAUGAUGAACGAGCUGCAGCUUAAAUGGUGGAAACAGAAGCGAGGUGGCAACGUGUGCGAAGAAAAACCGCCAGUCACGGUCGAACCAUUAAACUUUGAAGAUGUCGGUGGAGUGUUUCUAAUUAUGAUAAGUGGCGUUAUGUCGUCCUGGAUUUUCGCAGGAUUGUCGUUCCUGUGGAACAUUCGAAACAACGCGAUCAAACAUAACGUGUCUUAUAAAGAAGAAUUUCUAGAGGAGUUAAAAUUCUUAGCCAAAUGCACUAGGAAGAAGAUCGUCAAGAGAUGUUCCAUCGAGACACUUAAAAGCGAUAACACUGAUUUCUAACAAGUGCCAAGAGUUGUAUCUCUCUGCGGACAGCAAGUCUUAUGUGUAAAAGAGAAAUUAAUCCCAAUAAGACAGAAGUUACCAAAAAGUUUUCUCGGUUAUAACGUUAUUUAUAGAACACGAUACUUUGUCGGCUUAACAACCCUAAGGCAAGGUAAUGAAAACCGGAAAACGUCACGCAAGUUCUACGAAUGCAAGAAGUUUCAUGCAAGUUUCAAGAGACACAAUCAUAUCUCGAGCUAAGUGUCACGCGCAGCAAUGUGGCUGAUGUGCGUCUGUCCGACGCGAACUGCCCAGCUAUAACAAUAAGAAUCUCUUAGUAGAGAAUAAGAAAUCCGUAGUUUGAGAAUUAUAAAUUCUUAAGUUAACAACAGCAGAAGAAGAAAAUUUGUCACAUCUCUUGUGUCGAAAAGUGAGAAAUGAUAUUUUGGAAUUGUGAUUAAAAAUUGCGAAGGAAAGCGAAUUUUUAUCAUAUUUCUCAUGGUAAUAGACAAUACUAAAUAUUAUUAAACAGACAAAUAGACAAAAUUAAAAUUUGAAAUAAUCAAACGAAUAAAUAUAUAGCGCGCGCGCACACACACACAAGUUGAUAUCCUGAUAUUUGUAGAUAUUUAUGCAGUCAGGUACGACUGGCGUUUUGUCCAUUUUACAUGGGGCAUCAUUUUGUUAUAAAUACAAUGUACAUCCGUGGGUAUAGUCAUCCGUGCGUGAUCGAGGCAACAAAGAUCCGGUGGGAAGAUACGCGCAGCGGCGCAUAAUCGCUGCUGGAUAUCCUCGAACGAACGCGGGAUCUGCUCUCCGGCUGUUAAACGAUCAAAGUCGCGCACUCUCCGCCGGGAAUUCGCCUCCGGUUUGCGAGAGAGUCGCACGGUUCGACCGAUGACACAGACCCUCAGGAAUCUCCGAGCGCUACGUCGGAGAGGGACAGCGUCCGAUGGAGAACCGCGGACAGCGGUGCGCGCAUCCCCGCGAGAGACACAUCUCCGUCGGCCACGUUAUUCAAAGGCGCAGCAUCCGGCCGGGUCCGCUGCGGAUGAGCUGCGCGGGUGGGGAAACGCGCCCCGCUCGCAAGAUAGUAUUAAAAGGCCAUUAAGCGGCACGACAUGACGUACGGCUUUGUGCACGCGUGCACGAAGCCGAGAAGAAUCGCCGGCAAACGAAAGUUCUACCUGCCUGCUUGCCUGCCUGCUUGCCACUCGCCCCCCCUCGCCCUGCAUCAGGAAGAAGGCAUCCAGGAUACGUGUGUAGCAACAAGGAGAAAAAUGAGAGGAGGAAAGAGAGGCGUAAUAUCUCAUAUACAUGUAUAGUUCACUGCGAAAUCUCAUCACGGCAUGGCACGACUCGACAUGUUAAGGACUCUAUACCGAAAUGCUGAACGAAACGCGCACGUUCGUUGGAUCAUUAAUCGUCGUUAUCACGACGACAAAGCGAAAUUAGUGGCCGCGCCUAGCACGGCUGAGGAAAAUUAGGGAAGAUUAACGUGCAUUACCUGCGUUCCGUUACACACGUCUACGGUACGGUAGAAUGAUACGAGGCGUGAUACGAGGUGCAAAUAUAUACUUCGCGCGUGAAUCUUAAUGUUCACGGGUCUACACUUUCGAUGCGUCACCUUGUGCUUAGUUUUACUGGUAGCUUUAUUUAUACCAGCGUAUUGUCUCACUUAAUUGCCGGCACUCUCAUUCGCACCAAUGAGACCGCGGAUGCAUCCAAAUUAUCCGGUUCUUUAUUUAUAUAUUUCAAAUCGUUUACCUUUUUACUUAAUUAUGCGCAUUCAAACGUGCUAUCUCGUCUACGAUCAACAUUUUUUUCUGCACGACGCAAGAUUCCAACUUCAAUUUACCGAAUUUCGACGGCUGGAUGCAUUUUGUAUUCCAAUAGGAGUAAUAAACUAUUGUAGUUAGCCAAGACAUGACAGAAACUCAUGAAUAUUCUUCCUUUGUUAUAACCCUAGUGUUUUCCCUCUUCUCUAUUCAUAACUGCAUGCAAUUAAAUAGCAAUUUAACUCACUAAUUACAACUUAACUCUCUGUUAUAACAGCGCAGACUACCAGUUAUUAAAUAACGACAAAUAUUAAGUAAAGUAUUAGCAUGAAAAUAGCUUAUGUAACAAGUUGAAUGGAUUUUCAGGAGUGCCGGCAGCAAACGACACAGGCCAGAUUCAUGCAUGUGGAUAGUCACAAACCGUUCUAAAAUUCAAUUCCAAUUCCAUUGCAAUAAAAUAGAAUAAAAAGCACUCGAAUGUAAC